UACAGUAGUAUUCCCUUAUCCACUAAUGUACGAGCUAUUUAUUACAGUAGUAUUCCCUUAUCCACUAAUGUACGAGCUAUUUAUUACAGUAGUAUUCCCUUAUCCACUAAUGUAUGAGCUAUUUAUUACAGUAGUAUUCCCUUAUCCACUAAUGUACGAGGUAUUUAUUACAGUAGUAUUCCCUUAUCCACUAAUGUACGAGGUAUUUAUUACAGUAGUAUUCCCUUAUCCACUAAUGUACGAGGUAUUUAUUCUAGUAGUAUUCCCUUAUCCACUAAUGUACGAGGUAUUUAUUAGUAGUAUUCCCUUAUCCACUAAUGUACGAGGUAUUUAUUAGUAGUAUUCCCUUAUCCACUAAUGUACGAGGUAUUUAUUCUAGUAGUAUUCCCUUAUCCACUAAUGUACGAGGUAUUUAUUAGUAGUAUUCCCUUAUCCACUAAUGUACGAGGUAUUUAUUAGUAGUAUUCCCUUAUCCACUAAUGUACGAGGUAUUUAUUACAGUAGUUUUCCCAUAUCCACUAAUGAACGAGGUAUUUAUUACAGUAGUAUUCCCUUAUCCACUAAUGUACAAGGUAUUUAUUACAGUAGUAUUCCCUUAUCCACUAAUGUACGAGGUAGUUAUUACAGUAGUAUUCCCUUAUCCACUAAUGUACGAGCUAUUUAUUACAGUAGUAUUCCCUUAUCCACUAAUGUACGAGGUAUUUAUUACAGUAGUAUUCCCUUAUCCACUAAUGUACGAGCUAUUUAUUACAGUACUGUUUUGAAGUUCUCUCGCCAGGGUGUUCCUGAAAAGAUUAUCUGGAUAGUCAGUGCUGUGAUUUUACAAAGUUCAACAUAAUUGAUCUGAAAACCUAUUCUAAACAUUUUGGUAGCAGUAUUUUGAAUAAAUCCCUCCAGUGUGUAACAAACAGUCAUGGAGUCUGUUUUUGACAGUUUGUGUGUGUUGUCUGAGGGCAAAGUUUGAAUUGGGACCCAGAAGUUAGAUGUUUGUACCGUUGGGUGUGAGUUUUUUACAAUUGUGUGUGAAGAUUUGAGAAAAUGGUGAGUUGUUCCAGGAAUUGUGUCUAAGCAAUUGAGAAACUGUAAAAGGGAUAAUCCACCCCGAGAAAUGAAACAGGUCAAUUUCGUGAAAGCCUAUGUUCAAUCAGUGGAUAAAAAAAUGUUUCCCUCAUGAUUAAAAUUUUAAGUGGUGCGUCUGCGAAACCAGGAAAUCAUGUAGGAACGCGUCAUAGCUACACGGUUCUCAUCACUGUAUAUAGUGUGUUUUCUCCUUCAAGUACCAUAAUGCAAUGUGUGUCUGUGGGAAACGUGGGAAAAAGGCAUCGUCCUCUGCUCUCGCUUGGUGAGAGAGCCUCCUAAAUUGAUAAUGUAGUUUGUUUACGUGAUUUUUAAAGCUACAGUGCCUUGCGAAAGUAUUCGGCCCCCUUGAACUUUGCGACCUUUUGCCACAUUUC
ensembl:lncRNA